AGAUUGAACGCUGGCGGCAUGCCUUACACAUGCAAGUCGAACGGCAGCACGGGAGCAAUCCUGGUGGCGAGUGGCGAACGGGUGAGUAAUACAUCGGAACGUGCCCAAUCGUGGGGGAUAACGCAGCGAAAGCUGUGCUAAUACCGCAUAAGAUCUACGGAUGAAAGCAGGGGAUCGCAAGACCUUGCGCGAAUGGAGCGGCCGAUGGCAGAUUAGGUAGUUGGUGAGGUAAAGGCUCACCAAGCCUUCGAUCUGUAGCUGGUCUGAGAGGACGACCAGCCACACGUGGGACUGAGACA
rnacentral:rRNA from 1 species